GGAAUCUUCCGCAAUGGGCGAAAGCCUGACGGAGCAACGCCGCGUGAGUGAAGAAGGUCUUCGGAUCGUAAAGCUCUGUUGUCGGGGACGAAGGGGCAGAUCAGGAAAUGGGUCUGCUUAGACGGUACCUGACGAGGAAGCCACGGCUAACUACGUGCCAGCAGCCGCGGUAAUACGUAGGCGGCAAGCGUUGUCCGGAAUCAUUGGGCGUAAAGGGAGCGCAGGUGGGACGGUAAGUCUUUCUUAAAAGUGCGGGGCUCACCCCCGUGAGGGGAAAGAAACUAUCGUUCUUGAGUGCAGGAGAGGAAAGCGGAAUUCCUAGUGUAGCGGUGAAAUGCGUAGAUAUUAGGAAGAACACCAGUGGCGAAGGCGGCUUUCUGGACUGUAACUGACACUGAGGCUCGAAAGCCAGGGGAGCGAACG
rnacentral:rRNA from 1 species